rnacentral:rRNA from 1 species
UACGUAGGGUGCAAGCGUUAAUCGGAAUUACUGGGCGUAAAGCGUGCGCAGGCGGUUAUGUAAGACAGUUGUGAAAUCCCCGGGCUCAACCUGGGAACUGCAUCUGUGACUGCAUAGCUAGAGUACGGUAGAGGGGGAUGGAAUUCCGCGUGUAGCAGUGAAAUGUGUAGAGAUCGGGAGGAACACCGGUGGCGAAGGCGGGUCUCUGGGCAUCUCCUGACGCUGAGGCGCGAAAGCGUGGGGAGCAAACGGG